rnacentral:rRNA from 1 species
CGAUGACACGCAAUCAAUACAACUUUCAACAACGGAUCUCUUGGCUCUCGCAUCGAUGAAGAACGCAGCGAAAUGCGAUACGUAAUGUGAAUUGCAGAAUUCAGUGAAUCAUCGAAUCUUUGAACGCACCUUGCGCCCCUUGGCAUUCCGAGGGGCACACCCGUUUGAGUGUCGUGAAAUUCUCAAAAACCCCUUCCUUUGGUGGAAAGGAUUUUUGGACUUGGAGGCCUUUUGCUGGUUUCACCUUGAAGCGAGCUCCUCCCAAAUGGAUCAGCGGGGUCUGCUUUGCCGAUCCCUGACGUGAUAAUACAUUUCUACGUCUUGGGUUUCUGCACUGUACCUCUGCUUCUAACCGUCUCAU